AAUCUACCCUUCAGUUGGGAACAACUCAUCGAAAGGUGGGCUAAUACCGAAUAAUACUGCUCGACCUUGGUCGAGCAGCCAAAGAGAGCCUCUGCUUGCAAGCCCUCGCUGAAGGAUGAGUUCGCGUACCAUUAGCUUGUUGGUAGGGUAAUGGCCUACCAAGGCGACGAUGGUUAGCUGGUCUGAGAGGAUGAUCAGCCACACUGGAGCUGAGACACGGUCCAGACUCCUACGGGAGGCAGCAGUGAGGAAUCUUGCGCAAUGGGGGAAACCCUGACGCAGCAACGCCGCGUGAGUGAGGAAGGUCUUCGGAUCGUAAAGCUCUGUCAGUUGGAAAGAAAUGUCUGAGAGUCAAUCCCUUUCAGGCUUGACGGUACCAACAGAGGAAGCACCGGCUAACUCCGUGCCAGCAGCCGCGGUAAUACGGGGGGUGCAAGCGUUGUUCGGAAUUAUUGGGCGUAAAGAGCGUGUAGGCGGCCGGAUAUGUCAGAUGUGAAAGCCCCGGGCUUAACCCGGGAAGUGCAUUUGAAACUGUCCGGCUCGAGUAGGGGAGAGGGAAGUGGAAUUCCUGGUGUAGAGGUGAAAUUCGUAGAUAUCAGGAGGAACACCGGUGGCGAAGGCGACUUCCUGGCCCUAUACUGACGCUGAGACGCGAGAGCGUGGGUAGCAAACAGGAUUAGAUACCCUGGUAGUCCACGCCGUAAACGAUGUUCACUAGGUGUUGGGGGUAUUGACCCCCUCAGUGCCGGAGCUAACGCAUUAAGUGAACCGCCUGGGGAGUACGGUCGCAAGACUAAAACUCAAAAGAAUUGACGGA
rnacentral:rRNA from 1 species